UAUUGGCCUAGUUAGGAGGCAAAAAUUAAUGGGAUCUUUUAUUUGUCUUCUCAGGCCUUUUGAGGGGGCAACCUGAUUUUUGAUUUAGUUGUCCCCCAAGCAGCCUAAGACAUUU